rnacentral:rRNA from 1 species
AACGAACGCUGGCGGCAGGCCUAACACAUGCAAGUCGAACGUGAAGCCACCUUCGGGUGGUGGAAAGUGGCAGACGGGUGAGUAACGCGUGGGAACGUGCCUUUCGGUUCGGAAUAACCCAGGGAAACUUGGGCUAAUACCGGAUAUGCCCUUCGGGGGAAAGAUUUAUCGCCGAAAGAUCGGCCCGCGUCGGAUUAGCUAGUUGGUAGGGUAAUGGCCUACCAAGGCGACGAUCCGUAGCUGGUCUGAGAGGAUGACCAGCCACACUGGGACUGAGACACGGCCCAGACUCCUACGGGAGGCAGCAGUGGGGAAUAUUGGACAAUGGGCGAAAGCCUGAUCCAGCCAUGCCGCGUGGGUGAAGAAGGCCCUAGGGUUGUAAACCCCUUUCAGCGGGGAAGAUAAUGACGGUACCCGCAGAAGAAGCCCCGGCUAACUCCGUGCCAGCCGCCGCGGUAACAC